AUCCGGCUGACGAGUCUCAAUAGGACGAAACGCGCGUCCUGGAU
rnacentral:hammerhead_ribozyme from 1 species